rnacentral:lncRNA from 14 species
GGCUGCUGGGGCAGCCAGGGCUCGAUCCCACCAAAAAGGCUACCGAACCCCGUCGGCACAGCACGGCACAGCAGGGCAUCGCUCACCAACUACAGCCUGAAGGGACCCGAGCGGCAGCGCCCCCCCCUACACUCCAGCCUACCCCAGCUCCAGUGCGGCCACCCGGUUUCCCCCCUCUCCACGUGCGCCAACCUUCCCCCUCCGCCGUUCGCUCACCGGGACGAGCAGCCUGGAAGUAAAGGGCCACCAGCCACACGGCCACCACGCUUAUCAUCCUUCCUCUUCAGCGGGCCCCAGGAGCGCACAGCCUGCCCCUUCUUCCCGCGGUCUUCGCCGCCGCUCUCGGCUCGCUCCUCUCAGUAUUCUUUUCAAGUUAGCUGCGAGUUUUCUUCCUCUUUUAUUUUCUUUUCAAUUUUUUCCCUCUCUCUUUGUUUUCUUCUUCUCCGCCUUCCCAACCCGCCGAACCGGCCUCAAAGCAGCGCUCUGCGACGGCAAGGCGUUGAACUCUGUCUUUUAAUGAACCCACUGCAACAACCUUCACCUUACGGCCACCCCCCGGCCGGCUCCGCCUCCGUUCCCCUCCCCUCGCUUCGCUCCCCGGCCUCAGCCCGGACCGGCCCGCGCUGGCCGCCCGCCCUCGUUUCCUGCUACAGCGCUACCUGCGCCGCCGGGCUGUUGGGGCCGGGUUCUUCGGUCGGCGGCUGCCGCCGCUUCCCUCCCAUUGGAUUCUCAGAUUUCCUCUGCGGCAGCGGCGCUGCUCCCGCCGAGUUUCCUUCCUUAGCGCUAAAAAUAAUCAUUAUUAAUAAUUAGUAAUGCUAAAAGCCCUCUCUUCCCCUUCUGUUGUGGGACAGUCAUGGGGGCGCGCUGCCUUUCCCCUUUUCCCCCUUGGCGAGCCGGGGCAGAGGGGCUCCGCCGGGUCGACCUUGCUCCAGGACCAUCCCGAUCACCUCCGGUGGGGGUAUCUCCCCGAUAAAAUGAGGGCUUUGAGGAAUGGAGUCCUUCCCCUGCCCGAAGAGACCCCCUGGGCUGGCUCUGCACCUUGUUCCCCAGCCUUCAUUGCAUCCAAUUUUCUGCUGCCCCGAACAGGUUUUCUGAGGUUUGCAACAAGUAAUGCUGUUUUAAAAGAAGUGCCUUCCUGGAGAUGGCCCUUCUUGACGGGCUAAAAGCAACUCCAGCGGGCUGGUCUUCACACAUUUCACCGUGAACAUUAAAACCGAGGCAGGCAAAAAACCCACACCACGGGCUGAAUUUUAUUACUGUGCUCACAGGGUCAGGGCUGGAGUUGCUGCUCACUUCCAGUCAAUUCAGUCGCCUUUGUUUUGUUUUCUUCCUCUCGUGUAUGAGGCAGCUAUGUUUAAGUGCUUGCUACAAACAAUGCAACUGAACGUGUGCACAAAAGUACUUUUAAAAACAGAAAAAAAGGCCAUUUUUAAGCAUUAGCGCUGCCUCUGGAGCUGCCGGAGAGCACACUGCUGCAUGGCUGACGGGCACCGCGUGGCUGCAGAGCAGCUGUGUGGGUGAGCAAUGUGGACAAGUCUGCAGGCAUGGGGCUGUGCUGCCCCAGGGCUGCUCCGGGCAGGGGGUACCCAAAAAAGAGCUGCAAACAGUGCUUCCUGGCUACUCGGGAGCUGCUUGGUGGUUGCUAGCCCAUCUCUGCCAGAGCCACCAUCCCUUCCCCACAGCUGUGGCCCAAAGGCUUAAUAGGCCUAAUAGGAUAUUCAGUGUGGCUAAAACUGCUGUGAUUUUAUCAUGUGUCUUUAAUUAGCCUGCUUUCUUUCCCUCUCUCUUAAAUUACUCAUGCAGCCUUCCC